GAAGAAAUCACCUGCGAAGAUAUUUUCAAACUUUGAUCGUCUAGAUGUAUUGGCGACUCCAAAACCAUUUGUUGAAGAACCAGUGAAACGUCUUGGGGUAAAUCCAGCUGCUCUCACCUAUGAACCGACUGAAACUGUAAUUAGGCUUGCCCAAAUUCCUGCUAGACUUAAGAAUCUACCGAAACCUUUGGAACCUGGGAAAGUACAAAAAAGUGCUCUAAGAUAUAAAGUCACCCCGAGGAUAGAAACACUUGCAGUACCGAAACAAAGGAACGAAAAAGCCAAAGUAGAUGAAGACUAUGAUCCAUGGACCAUACCUCCAAAUGUUCUGAAGUACAAAGCCACCCCACGAAUAUUAGAACUCGCAAAACCGACGGAAAGAAGCUAAUACUUGUUCAAAUGUAACUACGCUAUGUCAAAAGUCAAAAAUAAACUAAGCUAUGUCAAAAGUUGAAAAGCAACUAUUCAAAUAAGUAAUAAAUCAAUAAUAAGAAGA